GAUGAGUUUGUCGGACCUUCCCACCACCACCGCCGCCGCCACCACCGCCUUCCCCGCCACCUCACAGCAGCAGCAGCCGCCGCCGCACCACUCACCGCCGCCGGCCACCUCAGGCCCGGCCGCCUCCGGUCCCGCGGCCGAACCCGCUCCCGUCCUCUCCCGGGCGGAGAUGUCCUCGGCGAUCCGCGACCUCAACCUGGCGGUCUCGAACCUCCGGACUCUCCUCCAGGCUCCGUACGCAACCCCGCC
rnacentral:lncRNA from 1 species